GACGGAGGGUGCCAGCGUUGUUCGGAUUGACUGGGCGUAAAGGGCGUGUAGGCGGUUGGUCAAGUCUGAUGUGAAAGCCCGGGGCUCAGCCCCGGAAGGGCAUCGGAAACUAGCCAGCUGGAGCGCGAUAGAGGAGGGUGGAAUUCCUGGUGUAGCGGUGAAAUGCGUAGAUAUCAGGAGGAACACCGGCGGCGAAGGCGGCCCUCUGGAUCGUUGCUGACGCUGAGACGCGAAAGCGUGGGGAGCAAACAGG
rnacentral:rRNA from 1 species